UACAGAGGGGGCCAGGCGUUAUUCGGAAUUAUUGGGCGUAAAGAGCUCGUAGGCGGGUCUGUUACGUCUGCUGUGAAAACCCGGGGCCUUAACCCCGGGCUUGCCAGUGGAUACGGGCAGAACUAGAGGCAGGUAGGGGAGAAUGGAAUUCCCGGGUGUAGCGGUGAAAUGCGCGGAUAAUCGGAGGAAGACCGAGCCGAGGCGGUAGCGGGCGUCUGAGG
rnacentral:rRNA from 1 species